rnacentral:lncRNA from 1 species
AGCUGCCAAUCAAAAAGUAUAAGAAUUAUUCAUAUAAAAAAAUCUAGGCUUAUUAGCUCAUCAUCAGUAUACCAAAAGAAAAAAGCAGAUAUAUGAGAUUAUUUCAAGAGUAAAAAACAGUGCACAUGGAAACGCAGAAAAAAUUGUAACCUUAAAAAUCUGGUUGCGCACUAAAUACCCCAUGGAGAUUUUCAAUAGUUGGCAGGUCUGGAACUCUUGAAACAAAGAAACCCAAC